GUAUGAUUGGCUCAGUGGCAUAGAGUCUGUCUAGUAAACAGAAGGUCGCUGGUUCGAUUCCAGCAUGAGGCA
rnacentral:tRNA from 1 species